rnacentral:rRNA from 1 species
AAAUUGAAGAGUUUGAUCAUGGCUCAGAUUGAACGCUGGCGGCAGGCCUAACACAUGCAAGUCGAACGGUAGCACAGAGAGCUUGCUCUCGGGUGACGAGUGGCGGACGGGUGAGUAACGUCUGGGAAACUGCCCGAUGGAGGGGGAUAACUACUGGAAACGGUAGCUAAUACCGCAUAACGUCGCAAGACCAAAGUGGGGGACCUUCGGGCCUCACACCAUCGGAUGUGCCCAGAUGGGAUUAGCUAGUAGGUGGGGUAAUGGCUCACCUAGGCGACGAUCCCUAGCUGGUCUGAGAGGAUGACCAGCCACACUGGAACUGAGACACGGUCCAGACUCCUACGGGAGGCAGCAGUGGGGAAUAUUGCACAAUGGGCGCAAGCCUGAUGCAGCCAUGCCGCGUGUAUGAAGAAGGCCUUCGGGUUGUAAAGUACUUUCAGCGGGGAGGAAGGCGGUGAAGUUAAUAGCUUCACCGAUUGACGUUACCCGCAGAAGAAGCACCGGCUAACUCCGUGCCAGCAGCCGCGGUAAUACGGAGGGUGCAAGCGUUAAUCGGAAUUACUGGGCGUAAAGCGCACGCAGGCGGUCUGUCAA